GAUGAACGCUGGCGGCGUGCUUAACACAUGCAAGUCGAACGGACAGGCGCUGCUCUUGCGGGGUGCUUGUGUGGCGAGCGGGUGAGUAAAACGUGAGUAACAUGUCCCUGUCUGUGGGAUAAAUCCUGGAAACUCGGGAGAUUACCGGGUAGAAGAUUCUGAUGCAUGGUGGUGGUUGGUGAGAUUCGGUGGUGGGGGAUGGUAUCGCGGCUUAUCCGCUUGUUGGGGUGGUAGUGGCUUACAAAGGCUUUGACGGGUAGCCGGCCUUGGAGGGUGACCGGGCACAUGGGGACUACGGGAGGGCCCAGACGCCUACCGGAGGCAGCGGGCGAGAACAUGGCACAGUGGGCGGACGCCUGAUGCAGCGACGCCGCGUGCGUAAUAAUGGGCUUCGAGUUGUAAACCGCUUUCUACGGUGACGAAGCGAUAGUGACGGUAAUGAGUAAAGAAGCACCGGCUAACUACGUG
rnacentral:rRNA from 1 species